rnacentral:rRNA from 1 species
CAGCAGCCGCGGGAAUACGAAGGGUGCAAGCGUUACUCGGAAUUACUGGGCGUAAAGCGUGCGUAGGUGGUGGUUUAAGUCCGUUGUGAAAGCCCUGGGCUCAACCUGGGAAUUGCAGUGGAUACUGGGUCACUAGAGUGUGGUAGAGGAUAGUGGAAUUUCCGGUGUAGCAGUGAAAUGCGUAGAGAUCGGAAGGAACAUCUGUGGCGAAGGCAACUAUCUGGGCCAACACUGACACUGAGGCACGAAAGCGUGGGGAGCAAACAGGAUUAGAUACCCGUGUAGUCCCUGUCUCUUAUAC